UUUCCAUAGGUGAACCUAUGGAAGGAUCAUUACUACUUGCUCACAGCGUCCCUCUAGGAAACCAGAGGGGCGUUAGGCAUGCCACCCUUGUCUAUUUAUACUAUUUGUUACUUCCCUCAGCGGGGCAACCCGCCGCUAGGGACAAACCGAACCCUUUUGUAUUAAGCAUCAAAAUCUAAAACAAACAAAAUAAUCA
rnacentral:misc_RNA from 1 species